rnacentral:rRNA from 1 species
UACAGAGGGUGCGAGCGUUAAUCGGAAUUACUGGGCGUAAAGCGCGCGUAGGUGGUUGUGUAAGUCGAGUGUGAAAGCCCCGGGCUCAACCUGGGAACUGCAUUCGAGACUGCAUUACUAGAGUAUGGGAGAGGGCAGUGGAAUUUCCGGUGUAGCGGUGAAAUGCGUAGAUAUCGGAAGGAACAUCAGUGGCGAAAGCGACUGCCUGGCCCAAUACUGACGCUCAUGUGCGAAAGCGUGGGGAGCAAAC